AGGUAAAGUCACUCUUGUAUCUGAGCUUCUCUGACCUGCUCCUGGGAAUUUGCUGGCUCAUAAAGGCACUUGUCUAUGGAACCGCAGCAGCCCACAAGGACAGCAUCUGCUAUAACCUACAGACUGCAGGAGAGCAAAUGAGAAACUGCAUCUAAAAGCCUUGGAGAGCAGGGCGUUGGUGGUGCAGCCUUUAAUCCCAGCACUCAGAAGCAGAGGCAGGUGGAUCUCUGAGUUCGAGGCCAGCCUGGUCUACAGAGGGAGUUCCAGAAUAACCAGGACUACACAGAGGAAUCCUGACUUGAAGAAUAAAAUAAAAUAAAAUAAUCUUGGAAGUGGC
rnacentral:lncRNA from 1 species